rnacentral:rRNA from 1 species
GACUCUCGACAAUGGAUAUCUCAACUCUCGCAUCGAUGAAGAAUGUAGAAAAAUGUGAUAUUUGGUGCGGAUUGCAGAAUCCCAUGAACCAUCGAGUUUUUGAACGCAAGUUACGCCCAAGGCCAUUGUGCUGAGGGCACGUCUGCUUGGACGUCA